CUCCUCUUCUGAGUCUUCUUUCUGGCCAAUCUUUCCCAGUCUUUCCAAGUCUCUCUGAAUCUCGGUGGGACCUCCAAUUGCAGCGCCCGCACCACGAACAACUCCAAGGUCAGAGAGCCAGCACCUCAAAGAUGACUAUGGGGAGGAAGAAGUCUGAGGAGAAGGCAUUUACAUACCAUAAAUGUUUAAUUUCACCAGCGUUUCUCCCAUGCCGUGCAUACUGGGAUGAGCUUUAUACAUUCUUCCCAUGUCUCAGUACCCUUCAGCAAGGUUAAUCCUGUCCUAAUGCAAGUUUAAAAAUUAAAUCCACUUCAGUGAACAAA